GCAGCUCCUGCAGCAUCUGUUCGAGGCUCGCCGCGUUCUGAUGAUCCGGCAGCGCAAGUCCGGCGGCGACGGCGGCGGCCGAGGUCGGCGGCGCCGGCUGGCCGUAUUGGUUUGAAGGGAGCUCCAC